rnacentral:rRNA from 1 species
GAUGAACGCUGGCGGCAUGCCUAAUACAUGCAAGUCGAACGAGAGGAAGGAAAGCUUGCUUUUCUGAAUCUAGUGGCGAACGGGUGAGUAACACGUAGGUAGCCUGCCCAUGUGCCCGGGAUAACUUCCGGAAACGGAUGCUAAAACCGGAUAGGUAGCAGACAAGCAUUUGACUGCUAUUAAAGUGGCUAAGGCCAUGAACAUGGAUGGACCUGCGGUGCAUUAGCUAGUUGGUGAGGUAACGGCCCACCAAGGCGACGAUGCAUAGCCGGCCUGAGAGGGCGGACGGCCACAUUGGGACUGAGACACGGCCCAAACUCCUACGGGAGGCAGCAGUAGGGAAUUUUCGUCAAUGGGGGGAACCCUGAACGAGCAAUGCCGCGUGAGUGAGGAAGGUCUUCGGAUCGUAAAGCUCUGUUGUAAGAGAAAAACGGCACUCAUAGGGAAUGAUGAGUGAGUGAUGGUAUCUUGCCAGAAAGUCACGGCUAACUACGUGCCAGCCGCCGCCGUAA